rnacentral:tRNA from 1 species
GCCCCUGUAGCUCAGUGGACAGAGCACCGGUUUCCUAAACCGGGGGUCGCAAGUUCGAAUCUUGCCGGGGGCG